UCGACAAGACGACACGCGCCCUGAAGCUCACCUCCUGCUGAUCUACCACAGAUGUAGCAGGGCCACCUCCCAGGACGAGUGGUGUACACGCCGAGUCGUCUCGGCCGUCAGACGUGCACCGACGUUCUUCAGUGUCGGCACCCACACGACCCCUUCUAUCACGUCUUGGAGGGUCCGAGCAACAUGGUACGAAUUAUACUUUUGAAUAAUAUUGAUCAAUAUCCUUUACUUAUUGUUAUUAAACAUUCAUUAGGUCCGUCUGCACAAGUCUCGACGCAGCCUCGCAGAUUGAGCCCUGUACGUCCACAGUCAGGUUACUUCGGUGACGAGGCUGGUCCGUCUUCGGCGGCCCCACACCCUACCCCCCCCCCCCCCGCAACGUACUACGGCACGUCAGCGUGGCCUUCUUCUGCUGCACCGUCGUACCACGCAGGCCCCUCCAGCCAGUACACAUGGACGCCUGCCGAGCCUUCACAGUCCUCCUACCCUAGUUAGGAGGAUGAGGCUGGCCCCGACACCGCAUACGACAUCGUCCGUGACUUCUUCGGGGGCACACCUGACUACGACGUCCUUCAGCGGUCCCAGGUUUCCAGUGCACCGCUUCGGACCCAGCCCACGCACGACGAGCCCUCGACACCGGUGGUCCCUACUAGGCCUACCAGACACGUCGGCCCACCUGACCCCCUCACCUACUCCAGGGGUCACGUGAGGGUUAACCAGCGGCAUCGGGACCACGAUGGGGCGCACGGACGACGGCAACGAGGGAGGCAUGAGUAGCAUUUUAUAUUUUUUGUAACUA